GGGGGUGUUUUGGUUUCGACAGAAUAGAUCUUUGAGAUAAGGCGCGAGUCGAGGAGCUGCCCGGCCUCGUAAAAAGGCAGAAAAAAAUAAACGCAGAUAAUAGUGUUAAAGGCCCUUGGGCCACAGCUGCAGCUGCUUAAUUAAGUUAGUUGCCCAUUUUCUAGUCGAUGUUGGCUAGCUGGAAAAUGAUUUUAGCCAUCUAGUCUGGUUUGUUUGAUAAGCAAAUUAGUACGAAAUUGAUUAUCUCGCGUUAAGUUAACCCUGUUGCUGGGGAUGCUUAGCGUUAAAUUUAAACAGCAAAUACACUCGUAGUGGCUUAUUUUUUAGCUAUUUUGGACACCGGUUCAAUUCCGGUCACCUCCACCA
rnacentral:tmRNA from 1 species